CUGCCGCCAACUAAGCUACCAGGGGAGGUCCCUUUUCUCACCAGGACCUGGUGUGCAAUAGUUGCCAACAACACAACAGCAACAGAGUGACCUCACCCGGUUGCCUAUAUGGGCUACCCUAAGGGACCUUGGAGACAAUC